UACGGGGGGGGCAAGCGUUGUUCGGAAUCACUGGGCUUAAAGGGCGCGUAGGCGGGCUGUCAAGUCUGGGGUGAAAUGCCGCGGCUCAACCGUGGAACUGCCUUAGAUACUGACGGCCUCGAGGAAGGUAGGGGCAUGCGGAACUGUAGGUGGAGCGGUGAAAUGCGUUGAUAUCUACAGGAACUCCGGUGGCGAAAGCGGCGUGCUGGACCUUUUCUGACGCUGAGGCGCGAAAGCUAGGGGAGCAAACGGG
rnacentral:rRNA from 1 species